UACGAAGGGGGCUAGCGUUGCUCGGAAUACUGGCGUAAGGCGCAACGCAGCGGAGUUGAUAAGUCAGGGGUGAAAUCCCGGAGCUCAACUUCGGAAUUGCCUUUGAUACUGUCUAUCUUCGAGUUCGGGAGAGGUUGGCGGGAAUUCCUAGUGUAGAGGUGAAAUUCGUAGAUAUUGGGAAGAACACCGGUGGCGAAGGCGGCUCACUGGCUCGUAUCUGACGCUCAGGCGCGACAGCGUGGGAUCAAACAGG
rnacentral:rRNA from 1 species